GCAAUAAAAAUCAAAGAAGACGAAUGUAAUAGCUAUUCAAUAAAACUUCAAAAGAAACAGAAUUUAAAAGAAACUAAUUUAGAACAAAUCAACAAAAUCCAAAACAAACUAUAAAUGUUUGAACAUAUUUACAAAGGAAAAGUCCUACAAGUUGGAACAAAAGUAAAACAAACACUAAUCUAGUAAACCCUAGCAACAUCUCAAUAAAGAAAUAAUCAACAAUCAAGAAACAACAACAUCUGCACAGAAACCAAAAGAAGGCUGAUAAAUGAACCAGCUUUCCCAUAAAAAAUAAAAAGAAAGACGAAUACGUGACUAAUUGACAUAAAACAACAAUGGCACACACGAAGGACACCAAACAUUCAACCCUGCAUGCAACCAUUAAAUCCAAAUCUUAACCCAUUAAACAAAACCCCCCAAAUCACGGGAGAACAUCAGAUCAAUAACAAAAACUGGGGGGAAAAAAACCCUUGAUCUAACCAAAACAAACGAAGAACAAGACGCAUAAGAACAAUGGAAUCAAAAGCCGCAAAAUUACCUCAGCAGCAAGGUACUCGAG
rnacentral:misc_RNA from 1 species